UACGUAGGUGGCAAGCGUUAUCCGGAUUUAUUGGGCGUAAAGGGAACGCAGGCGGUCUUUUAAGUCUGAUGUGAAAGCCUUCGGCUUAACCGGAGUAGUGCAUUGGAAACUGGGAGACUUGAGUGCAGAAGAGGAGAGUGGAACUCCAUGUGUAGCGGUGAAAUGCGUAGAUAUAUGGAAGAACACCAGUGGCGAAAGCGGCUCUCUGGUCUGUAACUGACGCUGAGGUUCGAAAGCGAUGGGUAGCAA
rnacentral:rRNA from 1 species